rnacentral:rRNA from 1 species
UACGAAGGGGGCGAGCGUUGUUCGGAUUUACUGGGCGUAAAGGGCGCGCAGGCGGCCGUCCAAGUCAGGCGUGAAAGCCCCGGGCUUAACCUGGGAACUGCGUCUGGGACUGGAUGGCUAGAGAUCGGGAGAGGAGAGUGGAAUUCCCAGUGUAGAGGUGAAAUUCGUAGAUAUUGGGAAGAACACCGGUGGCGAAGGCGGCUCUCUGGACCGAGACUGACGCUGAGGCGCGAAAGCGUGGGGAGCAAACAGGAUUAGAAACCCCCGUAGUCC